rnacentral:rRNA from 1 species
GUCGUAACAAGGUUUCCGUAGGUGAACCUGCGGAAGGAUCAUUACCUAGAGUUUGUAGACUUCGGUCUGCUACCUCUUACCCAUGUCUUUUGAGUACCUACGUUUCCUCGGCGGGUCCGCCCGCCGAUUGGACAACAUUCAAACCCUUUGCAGUUGCAAUCAGCGUCUGAAAAAACAUAAUAGUUACAACUUUCAACAACGGAUCUCUUGGUUCUGGCAUCGAUGAAGAACGCAGCGAAAUGCGAUAAGUAGUGUGAAUUGCAGAAUUCAGUGAAUCAUCGAAUCUUUGAACGCACAUUGCGCCCCUUGGUAUUCCAUGGGGCAUGCCUGUUCGAGCGUCAUUUGUACCUUCAAGCUCUGCUUGGUGUUGGGUGUUUGUCUCGCCUCUGCGUGUAGACUCGCCUUAAAACAAUUGGCAGCCGGCGUAUUGAUUUCGGAGCGCAGUACAUCUCGCGCUUUGCACUCAUAACGACGACGUCCAAAAGUACAUUUUUACACUCUUGACCUCGGAUCAGGUAGGGAUACCCGCUGAACUUAAGCAUAUCA